GACAGAGUGAACGGGAGAGAGUUUCAGAGAGAGUGUGGCGUCGGAAGAGGAUGAAGCAAGAGGGGAGAGAAGAACAGGAAGAUGAGAUCGUGUUCGACAGAGACUCAGAGACUUCGAAUCAUAAAAAGCAGAUUUUGAUCUUUCAGCUUUCUCAAAGGCUAAUCCAUGGCGACCUUCUCUCCCGAAUCGAAGCUGCCAAAGAUUUGAGGAAGCUCGCCCGUAAGUCUUCCCCCAAGUCCCGCUCCAACCUCGGCGCUUCCAGUCUGAUUCAACCCCUUGUUUGCAUGCUUCUCUCUCCCAAUCUUGAUGCCCGUGAAGCCUCUCUUCUUGCCCUCCUCAAUCUCGCUUCCCGCAAUGAACGGAACAAGAUAAAAAUAGUUGCAGCUGGUGCUAUUCCCCCGCUUCUAGAGCUGCUGAAAUUCCAAAACCUUAGUUUGAGGGAACUAGCCACUGCAGCAAUCCUGACCUUGUCGGCUGCUGCUUCGAAUAAACCGGUCAUCUUGUCAGCUGGUGCAACAUCUCUUCUGGUUCAGAUUCUCAUUUCUGGAAGUGUUCAAGCUAAAGUUGAUGCAGUGACAGCUCUAUACUACUUAUCUGCCUGCACUGAAAACGAGAAUUGCCCAAUGAUGCUUGAUCCAGGAGCAGUUGCCCCUCUAAUUGAUCUCCUCAAAGAAUGCAAGAAGCAUUCGAAGUUUGCCGAAAAAACUACAUCCCUCCUUCAGAUCAUUUCGAACUCAGAUGAAGGGCGAACUGCAAUCUCCAAUUCAGAUGGCGGAAUACUAACUUUAGUACAGACAGUUGAAGAUGGAUCUCUUGUGAGCACAGAGAAUGCAGUGGGAGUUUUGCUUUCCAUGUGCCAGAGUUGCCGUGAGACAUACCGCGAACCCAUCUUGAAAGAAGGUGCAAUCCCUGGCCUUUUGAGACUCACAGUAGAGGGCACAGCUGAAGCACAAGAUAGAGCUCGCAGGCUUCUGGAUUUGCUUAGAGAUUCUCCUCAGGAAAAGAGAAUGAGCUCAACAGAUCUGGAGAGAAUUGCCUACAAAAUCGCUGCUGAAGUUGACGGCGUAGGACAAGCAGCCGAAACUGCCAAAAGAUUAAUGCAGGAAAUGGUUCAGAGGAGAUUAAACACUGCAUAAACCGCUCACUCGCUCCGUUUUGUACAUUUUCUUUGAUGUCUUCUUGACAUUCCACUCACUUCUUCUUCUUCUUCUUCUUCCAGGAGGUACAAGUCUUGGGAGAUGGCUUGAAAUUUCACUUCUAAAUAUUAGGAUCUGGUUUGGCCAUUCUCUGCUACUUGGAUUUUCACUGAAGGAAGUAGCAACUCCCAUUGCUGAUGAGAAAACGUCUGAGCCUGAAAAUAAAUUGAAGGCAUGGGAAGCUUUUCUGGUUCCUGUAAGCAAUCGCCGCCGGCCGCCCAUCGUCUCCCCGCCGGAAUCAUCGCUCGACGUGAAGAGAAGUUGAACAAUUCGAAAGUCGAUGAACAGAAGAACAAUAUAUAAUACAUCCUUCUUCUUCAAUCGCGAAGAACCUCCACUUGAAAGUGAAAGGAUUUGGCCCACGCCUUCCCCCAAAAGUCAGACUCCACAGACCUUCACCUCCAAUAAUUUAAUGGCGGAAUCGACGACUUAAUCUUCCUCUUCACUCCUUCAAUCUCUUAUAAACUCUGCUCUCUCCUUCAAUCUCCUUCAAUCACAGCACCGCCAUGUUAGGUUUAAUUUUUCUCAAUUCGCGUAUUGGACUCGCCAUCAUUUUCUUCAACACUUUCGUAUGGAUCCCGUUGUUUCGUGUCAAGGAAGCGAUUCUCGGUGUCGCUAGUGUUUUCCGCCUCGUAUCCUUACCAGAAAUGGACAGCUCCCGCGGCGGAACUCUGCUGGUGAGAAGAUACGAAGAGUUGCAGAGGAGCGAUGAUCGAGCGGAAGAGGAGGAGAUGUGCUCCAUCUGUUUGACGGAAUUCGCGAGAGAAGAUUCCGUGUGCAAAUUGCCGGACUGUGCGCACGUUUUUCACUUCGAUUGCAUCGAGAAAUGGCAUGAGAGGAAUCGCUUCACUUGUCCUCUCUGUAGAUGCUUCUUCAACAUCGAGAAACACCAUGAGAAGAAGCUCCGCUUCGUUGUUCCAGAUAAUCCUUCCUCCCUUUAUUAUUUCUUGCAGUGAUUUCUUCUUUUCUUUUCGUUUUUCCAUAUCGAUUGUUCUACUGUAUAUUGAUUUCGGAUUUGGAAAUUGCUGUAGAAUUUCCAGUUCUUUUGUGUAAAAAUCUUUGUUCUCUGAACUUCGGAACGGAUUUCUCUGUAAAUGCAACGAUUUCCUUUCCGGGAAGGUUAACCAGAAAAUCAAGGAACGGUUCUUCCUGGGAUUGAAAUUAUUUGGAAAUUCUUCUGGAACUCUUGUUCAUUAAUAAUCAGUAUCAUCUAUGCU